rnacentral:rRNA from 1 species
GGUUCGAUCCUGGCUCAGAUUGAACGCUGGCGGAUGCUUUACACAUGCAAGUCGAACGGCAGCACGGACUUCGGUCUGGUGGCGAGUGGCGAACGGUGAGUAAUGUAUCGGAACGUGCCUAGUAGCGGGGAUAACUACGCGAAAGCGUAGCUAAUACCGCAUACGUUCUUCCAGUAGGCGGGACUUUCGGGCCUCGCAAUCAUUAGAGCGGCCGAUAUCGGAUUAGCUAGUUGGUGGGCAACGUCACCAAGGCGACGAUCUGUAGCUGGUUUGAGAGGACGACCAGCCACACUGGGACUGAGACACGGCCCAGACUACGGGAGGCAGCAGCGGGGAAUUUUGGAUAAUGGGGGGAAACUCCUGAUCCAGCCAUCCCGCGUGUGCGAUGAAGGCUCGGGUUGUAAAGCACUUUUGGCAGGAGAAACGGCACGGGAUAAUACCCUGCAACUGACGGUACUCUGCAGAAUAAGCACCGGCUAACUACGCCAGCAGCCGCGGUAAUACGUAGGGUGCAAGCGUUAAUCGGAAUUACUGGGCGUAAAGGUGCAGGCGGUUCGGUAAGAAAGAUGCGAAAUCCCAGAGCUUAACUUUGGAACUGGCAUUUUUAACUACCGAGCUAGAGUGUGUCAGAGGGAGGUGGAAUUCCGGCGUGUAGCAGUGAAAUGCAGAUAAGGCGGAGGAACACCGAUGGCGAAGGCAGCCCUGGGAGUAACACUGACGCCUACGCACGAAAGCGUGGGGAGCAAACAGGAUUAGAUACUCCUGGUAGUCUACGCCCAACGAUGUCAACUAGCUGUUAAGCCUUCGGGCCUGGUAGCAGCGCCAACGCGGGAAGUUGACCGCCUGGGAGUACGGUCGCAAGAUUAAAACUCAAAGGAAUUGACGGUGACCCGCACAAGCGGUGGAUGAUGUGGAUUAAUUCGAUGCGUAACGCGAAAAACUCACUACCCUUGACAUGUCUGAAUCCCGAAGAGAUUUGGGAGUGUCAAAAGAGGAACCGGAACAUGUAAAAGCGUAUGGCUGUCGUCAGCUCGUGUCGUGAGAUGUUGGGUUAAGUCCCGCAACGAGCGCAACCUCUUGUCAUUAGUUGCUACGAAAGGGCACUCUAAUGAGAUCGCUGGUGACAAACCGGAGGAAGGUGGGGAUGACGUCAAGUCCUCAUGGCCCUUAUGGGUAGGGCUUAAUGUCAUACAAUGGUCGGGACAGAGGGCGUCGCCAACCCGCGAGGGGGAGCCAAUCCCCAGAAAACCCGAUCAGAGUCCGACUGCAGUCUGCAACUCGACUGCGGAAGUCGGACCGCUAGUAAUCGCGGAUCAGCAAGCAUGUCGCGGUGAAUACGUUCCCGGGUCUUGUACACACCGCCCGUCACACCCGCGGAGUGGCUUUACCAGAAGUAGUUAGCCUAACCGUAAGGGGAGGGCGAUUACCACGGUAGGAUUCAUGACUGGGGUGAAGUCAACAAGGUAG